rnacentral:rRNA from 1 species
GACGAACGCUGGCGGCGUGCUUAACACAUGCAAGUCGAACGGUGACGGAGAGCUUGCUCUCCUGAUCAGUGGCGAACGGGUGAGUAACACGUGGGCAAUCUGCCCCUGACUUCGGGAUAACGCUUCGAAAGAGGUGCUAAUACCGGAUACGAACUCGGCAGGCAUCUGCUGAGUUGGAAAGUUUUUCGGUCAGGGAUGAGCCCGCGGCCGAUUAGCUUGUUGGCGAGGUAACGGCUCACCAAGGCGACGACGGGUAGCCGGCCUGAGAGGGCGACCGGCCACACUGGGACUGAGACACGGCCCAGACUCCUACGGGAGGCAGCAGUGGGGAAUAUUGCGCAAUGGGCGAAAGCCUGACGCAGCAACGCCGCGUGAGGGAUGACGGCCUUCGGGUUGUAAACCUCUUUCAGCAGGGAAGAAGCGAAAGUGACGGUACCUGCAGAAGAAGCACCGGCUAACUACGUGCCAGCCGCCGCAGUAA